AAACAUUCCUUGGGCUUCCCUGAUGGCACUGUUGCAGGAAGGGGGAACCCUUCCAGGGCCCGAAACUGGGCUCUCGUCCAACACUCAGAAAUGAAUUGUUCGAGAAGACACAUGUGCUGACAAAGCAAGAGAUUUUAUUGGGAAAGGGCGCCAGGGUGGAGAGCAGUAGGGUAAGGGAAUCCAGGAGAACUGCUCUGCCGCGUGGCGCUCGCAGUCUCGGGUUUUAUGGUGAUGGGAUUAGUUUCUGGGUGCUCUUUGGCCGAUCAUUCUAAUUCAGAGUCUUUCCUGGUGGUGCACGCAUCGCUCAGCCAAGAUGGAUGCUAACAAGAGGGAUUCUGGGAAGUGGACGGACACGCGGUGUCUCCUUUGGACCUUUCCUGAACUCUUCCGAAGCAGAAGCAGACUGUCCCCUCUCCAUCAGAGAGGGCCCCUCAGGAUCGGGGAUGCCCUGGAGAUGCUCCAUGCCAUGCUGCUGACUGGCCCAGGUACUGUGCCCUUCCUUGCUGGCAGGGCCUUAGGUGGACAGCAGGGCACCAGACUUUGACCAGCACCAUGGGCACUGAGGAUGCUGUUUUCACAACUUUUCUGUCUCGAAAAUUAAGAAGGCAUGGAAACAGGCAUAUCUGGAAUGAUGAGCCUGCAUGAAUGAGCACAAGAUUCUGAAGCACCCCACGAAUCAGUGAAUCUCCAAAGAAAGAUAACAUAACGGCCACUAUAGUUUUGAUGAUGUGCAUACUUUGCUGUAUUCUGGUACUUUUUGAAAUUAGAUCAUGCAUGUCUGGACACAUCUAAGUUUUUCACAAAUAUUUAAUUAAACUGGAUGUCCCAUUCCUAGAGCACAUGAAAAAACAGACACCUUCACUUUACAUAAAUUACUUGUAUGGCUUUGUUGGUUUUCACCUGCAUGUCUUCUUUGUAUGUGUCCUUUGGUGUCUCAUUAGUCAUAUGUCUUUUCUAACCCUCUGGACUGUGAACUUCAUCAGAGGAGGAAACUUCCUAAAUCUGUGUGCAUCCCACUGAUGGCAUUUCCUAACUGACUGCUCCAGCCCCCUAGGGAGGAGGACCAGAUCAAGGUAGAGGGAAGGAAGGUCUUGUCUGAGCCCUAGUGAUAUGUCUGAGCCUUCUCUUGGGGUCCUGCCCUGGGAGCCGUUUUCUGAUGGUUCAAAGGAAAACUGUCAGAAAACUGUUUGAUUCCACUUAUACAAGGUACCGAGAAGAGUCAAAUUCAUAGAGUCGGAAAAUGCGUU
ensembl:lncRNA